rnacentral:misc_RNA from 1 species
GAUGAAGAACGUAGCGAAAUGCGAUAAGUAAUGUGAAUUGCAGAAUUCAGUGAAUCAUCGAAUCUUUGAACGCACAUUGCGCCCGCCAGCACUCUGGCGGGCAUGCCUGUUCGAGCGUCAUUUCAACCAUCAAGCCCCCAGGGGCUUGUGCUGGGGCCCUGCGGCUGCCCGCAGGCCCUGAAAACCAGUGGCGGGCUCGCUAGUCACACCGAGCGCAGUAGCACAUCUCGCUCAGGGCGUGCGGCGGGCUCCUGCCGUGAAACCCCCCACUGUAACCCCAAAGGUUGACCUCGGAUCAGGUAGGAAUACCCGCUGAACUUAAGCAUAUCAAUAAGGGGAGGA